rnacentral:rRNA from 1 species
GACGAACGCUGGCGGCGUGCUUAACACAUGCAAGUCGAGCGGUAAGGCCCUUUCGGGGUACGACGAGCGGCGAACGGGUAGAGUAACACGUGGGUGGACCUCGCCCUCCAGCUCUGGGAGUAAGCCCGGGAAACCGUAGGGUCGUAAUACCGGAUAUGACUUCAUGACGCAUGUUGUGGAGUGGAAAGACCUUGUGCGGCUGAGGAUGGGCCCGGCGGCCUAUCAGCUUGUUGGUGGGGU